rnacentral:tRNA from 1 species
GGAGAUGUUAUAACUUAGCAGUAGAGCAUCUGCUGGACAUGCAGAAGGUUGCAGGUUCAAUCCCUGAUAUCUCCA